AAAAGUAUGCCUUCCAACAUUCAGUCGGACUCUAAACACCUAUCCGAUUACUAAGAAACAUGUCAAGAAUAGAACAGUGACUCUAUUGCCAUCAGGGCUUGAAUCUCCAAUUCAAAAUGAUCCAAUUCCUGAAACCAAAUUAGAAUAAAAAUAAAGAGAAGAGCUCUUUGGUUAGCCAGUUACGUGAAAGUCCUCAGGUAGGCGCCAGAGGGACAACCCA